CUCUAAAGAGACUGCCGGUGUCAAACCCGGAGGAAGGUGGGGAUGACGUCAAGUCCUCAUGGCCUUUAUGACUAGGGCUACACACGUACUACAAUGGCCGGUACAAAGGGCAGCGACACAGCGAUGUGAAGCGAAUCCCGAAAAGCCGGUCUCAGUCCGGAUUGGAGUCUGCAACUCGACUCCAUGAAGUUGGAAUCGCUAGUAAUCGCGGAUCAGCACGCCGCGGUGAAUACGUUCCCGGGCCUU
rnacentral:rRNA from 1 species